UGCAAAUGAAGAAUGGAAAGAUGAAUUUUGGAAAGUUUAUUUCACAAGAUAAAUAAUGAUUUAUGAGCCUUAUUUGCCCCAUGGGUUCUAGAAAAUGAAUAUGCAAGUAUGGUGCCAAGGCUUUGAGAACAGUGACCAACACUGGAUUCAUCUGUGGUGUUAGGACACUGGAGAAAGGCCACUCCCACCCCCAGGAGCCAGGAAUCUUUAUCUUUUGCUUUGAUUUGGUCUUAUCUGAGACAGCUGCUAGAGAUCCCUCCCGUUUUCCUUGCACAUGGAUGGGUCUGGGAGCAUGGGGUGUCCUUGAACCUGGAAGCUAACCACAUAAAAGGUUGUCCUGAAUCUUUGCAAGAUGCCUUGGGGUCUUCACUACACACAGUCCUGAGCUGGGAUGGUCAGUGGGACAGUAGGUGCAUCCAGAUAGGUCUCCCCCAACCCCCAGGGUUUCUGUCCCUGGGCCCAGGCAGCAUGACUACUCACUGGUGAUUUCAGUUGGUGGAGGUGGUAGAGAUGGAGUUUUGCUGAAGUAAUUUCUACUUCCUUUCAUGCAUUGGCUUUCCUUGAGACAGUGAUGACUCCUUGGAGAUGGGCAUAACUGGAAAGAGCUGCAAUAACUUGCCCCAGAUGAGUCACCAAGGGGAGAAUCAGAAACACUUGCUUUUGCCAGCCCCAUACACAUCCAGGGCCUGGGCCUUUCCCAGGAGGGCCUCCAGAUACAUGUGGCACGUGUCUCCUCCUCUGCCUCUUCAGAGCCUGCAUCCCACCUGCACCCCAAACAGGAUAUGACUAAUCACCCAGCCCAUGUAGACAGGCUGGUCCUGACAUUAGAACUGUAAAGCAAUGAAGAUCCAAGGGCAGCAAUGCAUGCUGCUUGAGAUUGGAGACAUAGGGGUUGGGAGUGCAGAAUAAAUGAAGAAAGCCACUUGAUUUGUCC
rnacentral:lncRNA from 1 species